UAAACACCACCAGCAGAUCAUCAGAUAACAACGCCUCUCCACUUUGUUUAUUUCUUAUUUGUGCAUUAAGAUUGACGCUCAUUACAGCACGAGGUUUGAUAUGGAGAUGAGUUUCAAAAUAUCUCUGAUGUUUUUGCUCAUGACUGCUGAUGUUGAUGGUCAGCAGGUUUGGGUGAAUUACAGCCCUUCAUAUGUUUGUGCAUUAAGAGACUCAACAGUGAGAUUAAAUUGUACUUUAACUCAAUCUGAUAGAUUUUGGGUCACAGCCACCUGGACCAAAUCAGCAUAUACACAUAACCUGUGCUCAGACACAAA